UCACAUUCUGUUUUCCUUUUUUUGCCACGCGAAUACCGGUUGGAUGGAACUGGAUAAACUCCAUAUCUUCAAGGGGCAAUCCUGCUCUGGAGGCUAUCGCAAGACCAUCUCCGGUGCAUGUAUGAGCCGCGGUGCAAGAGAGCAUCGUCCGAUCAUAAGAAGAUCAAGAGCAAAGUAUUCUACGUAAUAAUGGACGUCAUAACGUAAACUUUGCCCGUAUAAAGUGUGCAGUAUUGCGUGGCCGGUUCUGUCUGCAGCGGCGCAAGUUCUACGGGCUUGACCACCUUUUCCAAAUUUUAACGACUGACCACCGAAUGCACGCUGGUAAAUUUUUCCAUCUUCCGUACGACUGAAAGGACAGCCUAAAAUAUCAUUACAUUAUAUUUACAUUUAAGAAAAACUUUUAAUUCUGUUUGAUUUAUCGUAGACGAAUUAUUAGGUAUUUUAACAUCGUUAAAGAGAUCAUUAAAUUUGAAUUGAGAAUUUUCAAAUUUCAACGUUACGUUACGUUAAAGUUACUGUUCACUGGUGGAAAGAAGUCACGCGAGACAGGGACACAGGGGCAAGAGGAAUCCUUCGCUAGGACCGCCUAUCCCCACUUUAGACGCUUUGUUGACAAUCCUGACACCACACACUGCAUAAUAGUAGAAGAGCUAAUUUAAAUAUUCAAAAUCGUAAAAAUUAUUUUCACUUAUGAAAUUACGUUAAGGAUAAUCAUCUAAGAUUGGAAACUGAAAUAUUUUCGAAAUUAUUAAUUAUUUUGAUAUAAUAUUAAUAUAUCUAUGGUAUAUACAUAUGUUAGAAUUCUGGAUUCUAUGCCUACGCAUUGCAAAUGCUAAUGCAUUGAGAUUUAGAUCGUCGUUUUUGAUUAAUAUAUAUGACGAAUAUCACGGUAAAAAUAAAAAUGAAUGUGAAAAUAGGCAUUUCCUUUCGCGAGACUUCUUAUCAAUUCCAGUGAACAGUAAUUUGGUUGAUGAUAUAUAUAUACAUAUGUUCAUAUCAUGUCUUUCAUUAUCUUUUUUAAUUUCUCAAUUUCUCGCCUUUCGCAAGAAUUUUGUAAUGUUGAUAUCCAUUUUAUAAAAUUACCGUAAUUUUCAAGUUCGUAGACGGCUCGUGCUGCCUCUCUCGCUAGAAAAUGUAUCGCAUCCUGAUCUCCUAACCAAUCAGAUCCUUUAACGGUAUCGUACAUGUGAUAAAGCCAAUUAUCAUCCUUAUCGUUAUUAAGGACGGCAUUUAUUCCUCCCUGAGCGGCCACGGUAUGAGAUCUCGUUGGAAAUAAUUUUGUAACCACUGCCACUCUGUACCCUUUACUUCCUAUUUAACAAAGAAUUUAAAGUUGAAAUUGAAAGGUCGAGAAAAAAAGAAUAAUAUUGUUAUCUCGAUUUAGUUUUGAAAUCACGCGAUUUGUAAUAAAGUUACCUAAACCAAAGGCGGCUCUCAAUCCUGCACCACCCGCGCCCACAACCACAACAUCGUAACAAUGAUCUAUCACGGGAUAAUUCUGUAAAAAAAAACAUAUAAGAUAUUAAAAUAAUUCAUAAUUGAUAAAUAGCGUAGAUUCGAUAAAAUGAUAGAAUGGAAAUGGGAAAUUUGUAUUUAAAAUUCUUUACAUUCGUGUCUGUACCACAUUGCACUUUUUCCUGACCUGGACUGAAGUUUACGUGAAAAUACCGACCACUUUUCUGCUUCAGAUACUGGGUUUGCGAAGGAAAUCGCUGGAAGAAAAGCGGAAAAGUAAAAAUCAAGUUUAUUCGUCGAAGGGAAAAAUCAAUAUUUCUGAUAAUUACAUUACUCCUUGCGAUAAAUCGCGGCAAAUGAUUCACGGAUCGCAACAUUAUUUCUUGAAGUUCGUGUAUGCGGUAUGAAGUAUAAUUAACGUGAACAAGGUGAUAUUCGUUUGCUUGUCAUUUAAUAAAAGAAGUAAAACGGUGAAUCAUGACUGUUUUCAAGGAGUACCAGGAGAUAGUUGUAAAAGUAGCACAGUAGGUACUCGUAUUUCGUACAAGCAUAACUUUAUUGCACUUGCAAAAAUACAGUUCAAAACAUAGACAAUUUGUUACGUUAUUAAGAUAGUAUACAAUUAGUUUGGUUUAUAUCUCUUUGCUAAUCGGUUCGAUUUUUCACUUUGGUAUUCGUUGGACACCAGAGAAUGGAUAAGUAGUAACGAAUCGCUUUUAUCAUAUAGGAUAUAUUAAACGUUAUUUCGGCAGAUUUUGUAGCGGCUAUUAUUUCAGCUUUCAUUCUUCUUUUAAUAAAAAUCUUACGUUGUUAUUUAUCUUGUUAUUAUAUUAAAAAAAAAAAAACGGUGCAUUUGGUUACUCACCCGUAAUUUGUUAACUUUAGCAAUGAUUUAACCGAUUGUUAUUUGAGCGCGAAAAUUGUACUAGCAAUUCGCCUAUUCCUAAUAAAUACUUUUUUUAAACUUACGCUACGGUCGUUUUGUUACACA